UACGAAGGGGGCUAGCGUUGUUCGGAAUUACUGGGCGUAAAGCGCACGUAGGCGGAUAUUUAAGUCAGGGGUGAAAUCCCGGGGCUCAACCCCGGAACUGCCUUUGAUACUGGGUAUCUAGAGUCCAGAAGAGGUGAGUGGAAUUCCGAGUGUAGAGGUGAAAUUCGUAGAUAUUCGGAGGAACACCAGUGGCGAAGGCGAGUCUCUGGACGACUCCUGACACUGAGGCACGAAAGCUAGGGGGAGCAAACAGG
rnacentral:rRNA from 1 species